rnacentral:rRNA from 1 species
UACGGAGGGUGCAAGCGUUAUCCGGAUUUACUGGGUUUAAAGGGUGCGUAGGCGGGCAGGUAAGUCAGUGGUGAAAGACGGUAGCUCAACUAUCGCAGUGCCCUUGAUACUGAUGGGCUUGAAUUGACUAGAGGUAGGCGGAAUGUGACAAGUAGCGGUGAAAUGCAUAGAUAUGUCACAGAACACCGAUUGCGAAGGCAGCUUACUAUGGUCUUAUUGACGCUGAGGCACGAAAGCGUGGGGAUCAAACAGG